rnacentral:rRNA from 1 species
UACAGAGGGUGCGAGCGUUGUUCGGAAUUAUUGGGCGUAAAGGGCGCGUAGGCGGCGCGGUAAGUCACCUGUGAAAUCUCCUGGCUCAACUGGGAGCUUGCAGGCGAAACUGCCGUGCUGGAGUAUGGGAGAGGUGCGUGGAAUUCCCGGUGUAGCGGUGAAAUGCGUAGAUAUCAGGAGGAACACCAAUGGCGAAGGCAGCACUCUGGGACGUGACUGACGCUGAGACGCGAAAGCGUGGGGAGCAAACAGG